UUAGAGGUGGCAGAGUGGUUUGAGACUGGACUAGGACUCUGGAGACCAGGGUUCAAAUCCCUGCUCAGACA